AAUGAACGUUGGCGGCGUGGAUUAGGCAUGCAAGUCGAGCGAGAACCGUAGCAAUACGGGGACAGCGGCGAAAGGGACAGUAAUGUGUAGGUACCUACCCCCGGGUUCGGGAUAGCUGCGGGAAACUGCAGGUAAUACCGAAUAAUGUCUUCGGACCAAAGGUGUGAUUCCACCUGGGGAGGGGCCUGCAUCCUAUUAGCUUGUUGGUGGGGUAACGGCUUACCAAGGCGACGAUGGGUAGCGGGUGUGAGAGCAUGACCCGCGUCAUUGGGACUGAGACACUGCCCAGAACCCUACGGGUGGCUGCAGUCGAGGAGCUUCGGCAAUGGGCGCAAGCCUGACCGAGCGACGCCGCGUGCGGGAUGAAGGCCUUCGGGUUGUAAACCGCUGUCGUAGAGGAGGAAAUGCAGGAGGGUUCUCCCUUCUGUUUGACCUAUUCUAGGAGGAAGUACGGGCUAAGUUCGUGCCAGCCGCCGCGGUAA
rnacentral:rRNA from 1 species